rnacentral:lncRNA from 1 species
CUUCGACGGAAGGGCGGGGCGGGGCACACCCACAACCCUCCCAGGAGCAGCCGCUCCCGGCCCCUCCCACUGCCCGCCUUGCCCGGGCGGUGACCUAAAACACCAGCUCCAGAGACACACGCCCCAAACACAGGCCACUCUGAGUCACCCCUGGGGACACUGGCAGGCACACAGGCUCCUGCUGAGAGCAAGGGAAGCAGGUGGUAAAGAUCUGGGGCUCCGGCAGCAGCACAAGAGGGGCCAGGCCCACGGCUUUCCAGCUCGUGGAGGUGGACACGGUCAUGAGGCUGGACUUCGGGCUGGAGGCCCUGCCAGCCCCCCAGGUCUCCUCCACCCACCCCCAAGAGGCACAGGAUUGCACCGAAGGCCGCAGACUCCAAAAGCUGCAGUGCAGGUGGAAGAGGCUCCCUGGGAAGCAGCCCUAGCCCCAUCCUUGCCUGGCCUGAGUCAGGAGCUGCGAGCACAGGGGAUUUCCUCCACUUCACUCUUCUUCCUGGUCCUCAAUACUGCCCCUGCCUCAAAGGUACCUGAAACCUGCCCUGCCCCAGCCAGUUGCUCAGACACCCUGGGGAUCAGCCAGCACAAGGCAGGGCCAGCAGUGGUGGGGCCUCAGGGCAGGCGCUAGAACUGCGGGGGCUCAGGUGGAAGACAGGGACUCCCGAGAGGCUGUGGGAGGAGGGUUAGGUAUAGAGAGGGUCCUCCCAAGGGGAGAUGGGAAGAGAGGACCAGAGGCUGGAGGCAGGCCUGGGAGGGGGUGGUGGGCUCAGCAGGAAGGAUGGAAAGCUGCAAGAGGGCAGGCUGGGCUGCUUCAGCUACUGAAACGCACCCAGGUGGAUGGCUGAGUCCCUGUGCCAGGAAGAAGCAGGGAGAGAAGCGGGG